rnacentral:rRNA from 1 species
UACGUAGGGGGCAAGCGUUGUCCGGAUUUAUUGGGCGUAAAGAGCUCGUAGGUGGUUCGGUAAGUCGGAUGUGAAAUCUCCAGGCUCAACCUGGAGGGGUCAUUCGAUACUGCCGUGACUAGAGUUCGGUAGGGGAGUGUGGAAUUCCUGGUGGAGCGGUGAAAUGCGUAGAUAUCAUUUGGAACGCCAAUGGUGAAAACAGCUCGCUGGGAAUGAUCUGACGCUGAGACGCGAAAGCCAGGGGAGCGAACGGG